rnacentral:tRNA from 1 species
GGAGGAUUGGCAGAGCGGUCGAAUGCUGCGGUCUUGAAAACCGUUGUCCGUGCGAGCGGACCGGGGGUUCGAAUCCCUCAUCCUCCGCAA